GUAGGUGAACCUGCGGAAGGAUCAUUAGAUUGAAUUAUCAUUGUUGCUCGAGUUCUUGUUUAGAUCUUUUACAAUAAUGUGUAUCUUUAUUGAAGAUGUGCGCUUAAUUGCGCUGCUUCUUUAGAGUGUCGCAGUAGAAGUAGUCUUGCUUGAAUCUCAGUCAACGCUACACACAUUGGAGUUUUUUACUUUAAUUUAAUUCUUUCUGCUUUGAAUCGAAAGGUUCAAGGCAAAAAACAAACACAAACAAUUUUAUUUUAUUAUAAUUUUUUAAACUAAACCAAAAUUCCUAACGGAAAUUUUAAAAUAAUUUAAAACUUUCAACAACGGAUCUCUUGGUUCUC
rnacentral:misc_RNA from 1 species